UACGUAGGUGGCGAGCGUUAUCCGGAAUGAUUGGGCGUAAAGGGUGCGUAGGCGGUUUUAUAAGUUAGAGGUGAAAAUUCGGGGCUCAACUCCGGACGUGCCUCUAAUACUGUAUGACUAGAGAAUAGAUGCGGUAGGCGGAAUGUAUGGUGUAGCGGUGAAAUGCGUAGAGAUCAUACAGAACACCGAUUGCGAAGGCAGCUUACCAAACUAUAUCUGACGUUGAGGCACGAAAGCGUGGGGAGCAAACAGG
rnacentral:rRNA from 1 species